CGAUCGUAGUCCGGAUCGCAGUCUGCAACUCGACUGCGUGAAGUCGGAAUCGCUAGUAAUCGUGAAUCAGAAUGUCACGGUGAAUACGUUCCCGGGCCUUGUACACACCGCCCGUCACACCAUGGGAGUGGGUUGCUCCAGAAGUAGCUAGUCUAACCGCAAGGGGGACGGUUACCACGGAGUGAUUCAUGACUGGGGUGAAGUCGUAACAAGGUAACCAAGGGCGAAUUCGCGGCC
rnacentral:rRNA from 1 species